AUAGAGAGAAACUGUCAGUAAGAUUGGAGAAAUCUGUUACAGAAUAUGAAAUGGCUGUGAUGAGGCGAUGAAGGAGACGAGUUCUGUUCAGUCAUGCUGUGUCUUAGUUACGCAUCUAUUGCGACGAUCACCAUGGCUCUUACGAACACUAUCGUACUCCAGUUUCUUCCUCGCUAUCCUCUUCCUCCCGGUCUUCUUUCAACCUUGCGCGUCGCUCACUUAUUCAGCAGUUCCAGGUAAAGGAUGGAUAGUGUGCGAUUUCUGUGUCUAGAAUGCUAAUGUGAAGGCCGAGAACAAUCGUAUCUACCGACGAUGUCGGCUUGCAGAACUGGACUUUGCUUAGCGGCUUCCAUCUCCAAGCCUGAGUGGAAAUAUGAUGUGGCAAAGGUUUAAAGAAAAUUUCCAAGAAGUUCAAC